rnacentral:misc_RNA from 1 species
AACACUUUUUUUUUUUGUUGCUCUGCAUGAAAAUGCAUAAAUUUGUGGGCAUGUCCAUUGCACAUGUCCUGUAAAUACAUUUAGAACAGAUAAAAAAUACAUAUAUUGUCAAGUAUCAGAGUGUUCAUGAUUUUUCUUGCUUGCAAGUGGGGUCUCGAAAGUCCCACCCCCAAUGUUUGCUUGUGUGUUAAAAUACAUGUUUGUGCUUAUAACUCAAGAUUGAAGAUUUAGGGCAGGCUUACUAAAUACUUUGUUGUUUGAAUCCAAU